GCCCUUGUAGCUCAGCGGUAGAGCACUCCCUUGGUAAGGGAGAGGUCUCGGGUUCAAGUCCCGAUGAGGGCA
rnacentral:tRNA from 1 species